UACGUAGGGGGGCGAGCGUUGUCCGAAGUUACUGGGCGUAAAGCGCGCGUAGGCGGGGGGUUAAGUGAGAGGUGAAAGGCUGGGGCUCAACCUCAUGCAGUGCCUCUCAUACUGGCCUUCUUGAGGGCGGUAGGGAGAAGUGGAAUGGCUGGUGUAGCGGUGAAAUGCGUAGAUAUCAGUCGGAACACCGGUGGCGAAGGCGGCUUCUUGGGCCGUUCCUGACGCUGAUGCGCGAAAGCUGGGGGAGCGAACGGG
rnacentral:rRNA from 1 species